GCUACUGAAUCAAUUAUAAAAAUUGAUAACAUAAGGGAAAAUAAUGAUAUUACCUUAUUAUUAGUGUCGUCCAAAACUGGUGCCAGAAGACUCGGUAAGGCCAGAGACACAAACGUUAAUCGUCUUAAUCAGGCGUAAAGGGUUUGUAGGCGGCUUUUAAUUAAUUUAUAAAUUUAAAAUAUAAAUAAAUAAGUUAAGAAUAAAAGCUAGAAUCAAAUAGAGGAUAUAUCAAAUAAUGCUUAGAGUAGGUCUGAUAUCCUUAAAUACUAAGUAGAAUAUUAAAGGCGAAAGCUUUUUUCCAUUAAUGAUUGACGCUCAGAAACGAAGGUGAGGAUAGGAAAUAGGAUUAGAUACCCAAAAUACCCCUCUCUGUCAACGAUGAAUGGUAGUUAUUAGUAAUAAAUUUAUUAAUGGCAAUGUUAACACGAUAACCAUUCCGCCUUGUGAGUACAACUGCAAGGUUGAAAACAAAAAAAUUAGUCGGUUUCGGAGCAAACGAAGUGAAGCAUGUUAUUUAAUUCAAUAAUUCCGCAAA
rnacentral:rRNA from 1 species